GACGGGGCCCGCACAAGCGGUGGAGUAUGUGGUUAAUCGAUGCAACGCGAAGAACCUUACCUGGUCUUGACAUCCCGGAGACCCUUAGGAAACUAGGGGGUGCUUCCAUCUGGAAGAAUCUGGAGACAGGUGCUGCAUGGCUGUCGUCAGCUCGUGUCGUGAGAUGUUGGGUUAAGUCCCGCAACGAGCGCAACCCUUGCCUUUAGUUGCCAGCAGUUCGGCUGGGCACUCUAAAGGGACUGCCGGUGUUAAACCGGAGGAAGGUGGGGAUGACGUCAAGUCCUCAUGGCCUUUAUGACCAGGGCUACACACGUACUACAAUGGCCGAUACAAAGGGCAGCGACACUGCGAGGUGAAGCCAAUCCCGUAAAAUCGGUCUCAGUCCGGAUUGGAGUCUGCAACUCGACUCCAUGAAGUUGGAAUCGCUAGUAAUCGUGGAUCAGCAUGCCACGGUGAAUACGUUCCCGGGCCUU
rnacentral:rRNA from 1 species